rnacentral:rRNA from 1 species
UGCUUCAGUGCUUAGC